UGGAAACGAACUUUGCAUUGAUGACAUGUAAAAUUGGAGGUUUCCUUCACUAACUCUACUAAAGGAAAAGGAAGAUUUCAUCAUGCCUCAACUUCAUGGUUCUAAUGCUCGAUCACCUAUUUGGAAUCACUAUGAAAAACUUGAAGAAAAAGAAGAUGGAUCGUGGACAGUGAAAUGUAUUCAUUGUGGUCGUGUUGCUUAUUACCAUUCGCACUAUAAUGGAACUGCCUCCUUAAGAAAUCAUGUUAAACGUUGUUUGGAAACAAGAAACCAGAAUCGUUAACUCGCAAGAAUUGAUUACUAGCUAUUAUUUUGUUUACUUGAAUGUGAAAUAUUAGUACUAUGUUUGGACUAAA